rnacentral:rRNA from 1 species
GUGGCGCACGGGUGCGUAACGCGUGGGAAUCUGCCCUUGGGUUCGGAAUAACUUCUGGAAACGGAAGCUAAUACCGGAUGAUGACGUAAGUCCAAAGAUUUAUCGCCCAAGGAUGAGCCCGCGUAGGAUUAGCUAGUUGGUGGGGUAAAGGCCCACCAAGGCGACGAUCCUUAGCUGGUCUGAGAGGAUGAUCAGCCACACUGGGACUGAGACACGGCCCAGACUCCUACGGGAGGCAGCAGUAGGGAAUAUUGGACAAUGGGGGAAACCCUGAUCCAGCAAUGCCGCGUGAGUGAUGAAGGCCUUAGGGUUGUAAAGCUCUUUUACCCGGGAUGAUAAUGACAGUACCGGGAGAAUAAGCUCCGGCUAACUCCGUGCCAGCAGCCGCGGUAAUACGGAGGGAGCUAGCGUUGUUCGGAAUUACUGGGCGUAAAGCGCACGUAGGCGGCUAUUCAAGUCAGAGGUGAAAGCCCGGGGCUCAACCCCGGAACUGCCUUUGAAACUAGAUAGCUUGAAUCCAGGAGAGGUGAGUGGAAUUCCGAGUGUAGAGGUGAAAUUCGUAGAUAUUCGGAAGAACACCAGUGGCGAAGGCGGCUCACUGGACUGGUAUUGACGCUGAGGUGCGAAAGC